rnacentral:lncRNA from 1 species
CCCCAUCACUGACAGCAAACACAAUGUCACAGUGACACUGAUGCUGUGGCUUCUGUGCCCUGCCAGGAACAUCUGGUGUCCUGGUGUCUGGCAGCAACAGCUGAUGCUGCACAUGCCUUUUGGAAGAGGUCUUCCUUCUGAGGUGCAGUUUUCAUGCACAUUAGUCACCCUGAGCAGCCUGCACAAAGUUGAUCCUGACCUGCACCGUGCCAUCUUUUGCCAGCAGGCUUCACUGCUAAUCUACCAUGAAGGAUGCUUCAUUUGCCGCCAGCAUGAAGAUGUCACCUAUGCUGUGUGCAGGACUGCCAGUAGCACGGAUGGUCUCUCUGCAGGGGUGGCAUGGAGGAACAGCCCUGCAUCAGAAAGAUGUUUCAAAACACUGUACAAAGAAAAUGAAUGGUGUGCCUGGGGUAGGCUGCUAGGCUCAGAGGAAAGGCUAUGAAUAAAGGUAUCAUAUAUCCUUCUGUUUUUAAUCCACACUAUUGUUAUUUACCACAAACUGAUCUAUCUUUUUAUUUUUAUUGCUUCAUUUGCAGCUGGAUUGAAAUUAUUUGGUUUAAUGAUAAUUUUUGCUUCAGGAACAGAUGUGCCUUACAUUGUUUCAGAUAAGACUGACAACCAAGCAGGAUUGUUGGAGGAGCAUUCUGGCUAGCCCAUAGGCACUUCUGCCUUCUCUACUUUCAGGUUGCAGGUUGUUGAUGAUGCUGGACCAAGCUUCAUUUGCCAUUGUUACAAUUUUACGAAGGAGCAGUGUGUCAUUAUGUCCCUGGAAGCUGGAUGUUAUAAAGGGAAGAAUAGAAAUAAUAAUAAUAAUAAUAAUAAUAAUAAUAAUAAUAAUAAUAAUAAUAAUAAUAAUAAUAAUAAUAAUAAUAGUAACAAUACUUCUGGAACACUCUGACAAGGGUCUCAUAUUCUUCCCUUGAGCUAUUCCUCCAAACAAAAUUUCCAGUAUGUAUUCUUCCCUUUCAAAUGUCUAAUGGAGUGUUGAGCCAGCAAGACUGCUGGGAAGUUCGAGUUUCUGCCUGCACAAUGGCAGCAGUAUCUGUGCUGUCAGAAUUAACUCUCCAUUUUUUCCUGCUCAUGCUGAAAAAGAACUUUCUAACAUUUGAAAAAUAUACUGUGUGCUCAGAGAUCUUAUGUUUCUUUGCUGGUUUAGCUCAGGCAAAGCUGAUUAAAAAAUUCAAUUCUAGUGUCAUUGAAAUAACUAGUGAUACCUCAAACACUCAUAUCAUGAAGGUCUAUUUUAAAUACAUGAUUUCAUGGUGUGUGGAAGGAUAAGCACAGAAGAUCACUGCUUGGCUAAUGAGGUGAUGGGCACUGCAUAAAACCUGAAAAGAAGAAGCAUCAGCCCAGCUCUAUAGAUAUCUCCAGACUAGAUUGACACAAUACCUGCUGAUACUGGCACUUGUCCAGUAAAUCCACCUUUGGCACUUACCCAAGAA